rnacentral:rRNA from 1 species
CAGCGCCGCGGUAAUACAGAGGAUGCAAGCGUUAUCCGGAAUGAUUGGGCGUAAAGGGCGCGUAGGCGGACUGAUAAGUCAGGGGUGAAAUCCCAAGGCUCAACCUUGGAACUGCCUUUGAUACUGUUUGUCUUGAGUUCGAGAGAGGUAAGUGGAACUGCGAGUGUAGAGGUGAAAUUCGUAGAUAUUCGCAAGAACACCAGUGGCGAGGGCGGCUUACUGGCUCGAUACUGACGCUGAGGCGCGAAAGCGUGGGGAGCAAACAGGAUUAGAUACCCGCGUAGUCCCUGUCUCUUAUACA